UACGUAGGGGGCUAGCGUUGUCCGGAAUCAUUGGGCGUAAAGAGCGUGUAGGCGGCUUGGUAAGUCCGCUGUGAAAGUCCAGGGCUCAACCCUGGAAUGCCAGUGGAUACUGUCAAGCUAGAGUCCGGAAGAGGCGAGUGGAAAUUCCUGGUGUAGCGGGUGAAAUGCGCAGAUAUCAGGAGGAACACCAAUGGCGAAGGCAGCUCGCUGGGACGGUACUGACGCUGAGCACGCGAAAGCGUGGGGAGCAAACAGG
rnacentral:rRNA from 1 species